rnacentral:SRP_RNA from 1 species
GCUGGGCGUGGUGGUGGGCGCCUAUAAUCCCAGCUACUUGGGAGGCUGAGACAGGAGAAUCACUUGAACCUGGGAGGUGGAGGUUGCAGUGAGCCUAGAUCACGCCACUGCACUUCAGCCCGGGUGACAGUGUGAGACCCUGUCUCAA